rnacentral:misc_RNA from 1 species
GCAAGCCGAGGGUCAAGGGUUCGAGUCCCUUAACCUCCAUUGGGCUUAUGUCCUAAAUCGUAAUUAAGUAUGUUUUUAAGUAACUUUGUUAAAGUAAUUGUUGGAAUGUGAAACAGAGGAAGUUAAAAUUUCUGGGUUAAGUUGAGAUCUGUUGAUAUUAAGAAGAAUCUCUAGAAGCAAAAGCAAGCUUUCGAUAAAACCCGAAGUUGUUUCGCUAAAGUGCAAGGAUUAAACAGGAUUGUAUUUUCCAGUAGCCUAUUUUAUAAACGAUCUGCAUUUAGUAAAUAGUUUUUAGUUAAGAAAUAAUGUAGAUUGCUAAGUGUGAUGCCUGAAAGAAGGACAAGUAUUAUAGCGAGCCUAAAUCCUUGUUAUCGUUGCCAGUAUUUAGUGGUAGGGAUUCGGAUAAGACUGCCAUUUAUAAGUUGGAGGAAGGCAAAGAUUGCAUUAAAUCGUUAUCGCUCUUAUGUUUUAGGUUACAAGUUUGCCACAAUAACCCAAAAAAGCUAAGCAAAAUGCUAUAAAGCAGAUUUCAGUUUGGAUUUGCCCGACACUCAAUGGCAUGAAGUUGUAAUUGUUAGUAAUCGUAUAUACCUUAAUAUAGAAAUUGAAUAAAUUUUUGUUUUUUUAAUUAUAGCUUAAAACAGUAUUGUCGUAAUUAAA